UACGGGGGGGGUAAGCGUUGUUCGGAAUUACUGGGCGUAAAGGGCUCGUAGGCGGCCAACUAAGUCAGACGUGAAAUCCCUCAGCUUAACCGGGGAACUGCGCUUGAUACUGGAUGGCUUGAGAUUGGGAGAGGGAUGCGGAAUUCCCGGUGUAGCGGUGAAAUGCGCAGAUAUCGGGAGGAACACCGGUGGCGAAGGCGGGUCUCUGGGCAGUAACUGACGCUGAGGAGCGAAAGCGUGGGGAGCGAACAGG
rnacentral:rRNA from 1 species